GCUAGCAAUGUACGCCUGUGGUUCAGCCGGCUAGUCUUGUGGGUUGUCGUGUUGCGGAUCCGAAUGGACCGCGUGCGGCAACGCCGCAGGCCAAGCUGUGGUGCACUCCAUGGGCGUGCGCGUCAGCGUCGGUUCCCGACGAGCGAUGAGGUGCUGGGGGAAGGUAGCUCGCUUCUUCGGAUGCGAGUGUUAAGACCCUUGUGCUGGGCUCGUCGUGGGACCGAGGAGAGAGAUGAUCGCUGCGGCACCUGCCUCUCGGGGCUAGCCAGCUGUUGUCAGACGUGUGUCAGGCGUCGAGGACUGCACGCAGUGCUCGGUGUUGAGGCGUGGUCUGGUGGUGGUGUGGGCAUAGAGGUGCCUAGGACGCUGGCGUCCAAAUGGCCGUGCGCGACCCGUCUUGAAACACGGACCAAGGAGUCUAACAUGUGCGCGAGUCUUAGGGUGUGCAAGCCCUUGGGCGCAAUGAAAGUGAAGGUUCGGCGCUGGUCGAGCUUAGGUGAGAGCCGUUGCUGGAAUGAUUGCCACGGCGGCGCAUCAUCGGCCGGUCCAUCCUGCUCUCAGGAGGAUCCGAGCAAGAGCGUAUCUGUUGGGACCCGAAAGAUGGUGAACUAUGCCUGAAUAGGGUGAAGCCAGAGGAAACUCUGGUGGAGGCUCGUAGGGAUUCUAACGUGCAAAUUGAUCUCAAAAUUUGGGUAUAGGGGCGAAAGACUAAUCGAACCAUCUAGUAGCUGGUUCCCUCCGAAGUUUCCCUCAGGAUAGCUGGAACUCGUUAACACAGUUUUAUCAGGUAAAGCGAAUGAUUAGAGGUCUUGGGGGUGAAACACCCUCAACCUAUUCUCAAACUUUAAAUCGGUAAGAAGCGCGACUUGCUUAACUGAAGCCGCGCAGCCAAUGUGAGUUCCAAGUGGGCCAUUUUUGGUAAGCAGAACUGGCGAUGCGGGAUGAACCGAACGCUCGGUUAAGGUGCCAAAGUCGACGCUCAUCAGACCCCAGAAAAGGUGUUGGUUGAUAUAGACAGCAGGACGGUGGCCAUGGAAGUCGGAAUCCGCUAAGGAGUGUGUAACAACUCACCUGCCGAAUCAACUAGCCCUGAAAAUGGAUGGCGCUCAAGCGUCGCACCUAUACCGGGCCGUCGUCGUAAAUGCCAGGCGACGACGAGUAGGAGGGCGCGGUGGUCGUGAUGCAGCCCUUGGCGUGAGCCUGGGUCAAACGGCCUCUGGUGCAGAUCUUGGUGGUAGUAGCAAAUAUUCAAAUGAGAGCUUUGAAGACCGAAGUGGAGAAAGGUUCCAUGUGAACAGCAGUUGGACAUGGGUUAGUCGAUCCUAAGAGAUAGGGAAGUUCCGUAUCAAUGUGCGCAAUCGGUCUCGUGCCGCCUUGCGCCAACCUAUCGAAAGGGAAUCGGGUUAAUAUUCCCGAACCGGAAUGCGGAUAUUCUCUGGCUCUCGGGUCAGGAGCGGCAACGCUAGCGAACCGCGAGACGUCGGCGGGGGCUCCGGGAAGAGUUGUCUUUUCUUUUUAACGCAGUCGCCAUCCCUGGAAUCGGUUUGCCCGGAGAUAGGGUUGGCUGGCUCGGUAAAGCAGCACACUUCAUGUGCUGUCCGGUGCGCUCUCGACGGCCCUUGAAAAUCGCGGGUGUGUACUGAUUUUCGCAUCCGGUCGUACUCAUAACCGCAUCAGGUCUCCGAGGU
rnacentral:rRNA from 1 species